ensembl:lncRNA
AGGGGAAGUGAUGAAGCUGAAGGCGUCUCUCUGCUCAGACUGAUGUUCAGUCGUCAUCCAGACACCAUGAAGACUCCGUGUGUCUCUCUGCUCCUCGGUGUGUGUGUGCUGCUGCUGUCUGCACCGACUGUUUCUGCAGUGUCUCUGUCUGUCAGUCCAAACCUUCAGCAGGUCUUCAGUGGAUCUCCUUCAGUGUAUCUGAGUUGUGUGGAUGAUGGACAGACAGCUGAUGGAUGGACAGUGAAGAGGACCAGAGGAGGACCCACUGAGGACUGUAGAGCAGCUGGGUCAGAGUUCUGGAUUAAGUUUGGUUCCUACUGUGUUGUGGAUCUUUCUGCUCCCAGUGAAACCUUCUGGUGUGAGGACUCCUCUGGACAGCAGAGUGACAACAUUUCCUUCAGUGUCCAAUCAGACACUAAAGAUAAAGCUGUCAUCCUGGAGGUCCCUGCACUUCCUGUGAGGACAGGAAGUGAUGUCAUUCUGCGCUGCAGACAGAGGAAUGGUGACACGGUCAAAGCUUAUUUCUACAUCAAAGGAAGUUCUGUUGGUCCUAAACCAGAGCACAACAUCACUAAGAUCACGCAGGCUGAUGAAGGUCUCUACUGUUCUACUGAUGAUGGUGCAAAGUCUCCUGAGAGCUCUCUGAGGGUCAGAGAUCCUCCCAAAAUCAUCCAUCCUCCCCCUCCUCACUGUCCUCCCCCUCCUCACUGUCCUCCUCCUCCAAGCACCUCCACAAACUUUGCUCCUCCUGUAAAAACUCCUCUUACUUGUCCUCCCUGUACUUCUCCUCCUCCUCCUCCCUCUCUCCUGGUCCCAGUUGUAGCAGGUCUGGUCUCCGUGGUUCUCCUGGUUCUGGUUCUGGGUGGAGUCCUGUUCCUCUUCUGUAAACUAAAAGGAACAACAAGUUCACAGCACUUCCUACUGUCUGACAAACACCAUCACGCUGUCAGCACGAACCAUCACAUGAGUUCGAUGUGCACCAUUACUCCUCCUGUGCUGAUGUUGCUCUGUGUGAUGCAGGAGGUCGGGGAGCAGAGCUGUGGAGCUGUGGAGGUGACGGCUGUCUGAGAUGGAGCGUCUGCCUCUGCUUUUCAGGCCUGUUUCUGCUGACUGCUGCAGGUGUGUGUGUGCUGCUGCUGUCUGCUCUGACAGUUUCUGCAGCUCCUCCUCCCUGUGAGUCUGUGCUCAGACUCUUCUGCCAUCUAGUGGUCUUCUGUCCGUACUGCAUCUCCACCGGUCUGCUGCUGUCCAUCUGCUGGAGCAGGAAGACACCGAACAAACCAGCCGUCUCCAUGGAGAUGACCCAGCGUGAUGGAGGAGGUCAGGGACUGGCUGAAGAUGGUGAUGAUGUCACUGCUGAUGUCACCACUGAGCAUGCCUUCUGAGCUGCAGACUGACAGCAUCUGCAGUAUUUCUGUAUCUUGGUUCCUCUUUUGCUGUGUUGGAGUAAAGUUCUAGUGUUUGCUGUCAGUAUGGAUUAGUUAGGUUUGAGUUUAUCGCUUCAUCCCUGUUUCCUGUGUAAGUCUGUCCUCUGUGCAUGUCUCUUAAGUCAUGUGUCCUCUGUACAUUCUCCCAGUCCAUCAUGUGCGUCUCCUCCCGUUGUCUUCCAAGUUCGUCUAGUUCUUCCCUCCCGUCUCCUGUGUCAUAUUGUGUGAAUUAGUGUUUCCUGUUUUACUUUGACAGUGCCACGUCCUGUGUUCAGUGUGUAUAGCUUUGCUUCCUGUGUGUCGUCAGGUCCACUCUCCCUAAUGACCCUUGUGUGCUUAUGUUGUGUCUGUUUUCCUCUGUCAGGUUGCCUGUUUCCUGUGUCUCUCACGUCAUGGUCUAGUUCAUCCUGGUCUCAUGUUCCAGUUUUCCUUGUUUUUUGCUUUAUUUUCCCCAGUUUAGUCAGUGAGUCCAGUCCUGGUUUCACAUUUUAUGUAUGUCAACAUUUCCAGCCUCAAUAAAUGACUCUCCUUCGUUCAACCUCACUCUCGCCUCAGUUGUCUACAUUUGGCUCCUCCUCUUCUCUCCACAUGAUGUGUUGUUGCC